rnacentral:rRNA from 1 species
UACGUAGGGUGCAAGCGUUGUCCGGAAUUAUUGGGCGUAAAGAGCUCGUAGGCGGUUUGUUGCGUCGGCUGUGAAAUCCCGAGGCUCAACCUCGGGUCUGCAGUCGAUACGAGCAAACUAGAGUGUUGCAGGGGAGACUGGAAUUCCUGGUGUAGCGGUGAAAUGCGCAGAUAUCAGGAGGAACACCGGUGGCGAAGGCGGGUCUCUGGGCAACAACUGACGCUGAGCAGCGAAAGCGUGGGGAGCGAACAGG